UGUGGGAGCUGGCUUGCCUGCGAUAGCGUCGGCUCAGAGGCAUAGGUGCUAGCUGACCCACCGCUAUCGCAGGCAAGCCAGCUCCCACA
rnacentral:antisense_RNA from 1 species